CAGUAGCCGCGGUAAUACGGAGGGAGCUAGCGUUGUUCGGAAUUACUGGGCGUAAAGCGCGCGUAGGCGGUUACUCAAGUCAGAGGUGAAAGCCCGGGGCUCAACCCCGGAACUGCCUUUGAAACUAGGUGACUAGAAUCUUGGAGAGGUCAGUGGAAUUCCGAGUGUAGAGGUGAAAUUCGUAGAUAUUCGGAAGAACACCAGUGGCGAAGGCGACUGACUGGACAAGUAUUGACGCUGAGGUGCGAAAGCGCGGGGAGCAAACAGGAUUAGAUACCCGUGUAGUCCCUGUCUCUUAUAC
rnacentral:rRNA from 1 species